rnacentral:lncRNA from 1 species
CACUACGCAUACCUUAGGUGGAAGAUUCUUGAAGAAAUUCUUAGACAUGUUCUUGAUUCCUUGACUAGGGUUCUUGUUCCUUUGAGAGAAAAUAAAUUGGCUCUUGAGUUUGAAAAACUUGAAUAUCAUAUAUUCUUGAAGAAGGAUUUGAUUCUUGUUAUAGGUUAUGAUCUUGAGAGAAACCCUUCUUUUGAUGUUGAAGAUAAAUGAGGAGUUAUGUUCUUCAAUUGAUGGGAUUUGGGUCUUCAAAUUGAAAUCCUAGCUUGAGUUCUUGAGAGGAUUUUGAGAAGAGGAGUAUAUUUUGCUGCAAAUAAGCCUUUGGGGUAUAUAUAGGGGUAGAAGAUGACCAAAAUACCCCUAAGGAACAAUUGAGGUCAAAUCUGUCCCUAAUUGACUGUCUGAUAGGAUGAAGUAAAUUGAUAAUAACUUUUUACUUAGAUAUCUAAAUUGGAUGAAACUAAUUUCAUUAGAAAGAAGACUCAAAGAGCUUUUCAUUGAUAUAUAGCAGUUCUUCCAGUUUAUUAUAUACAGAAAGUUAUGAUCAUUUGAAGUUGACCCUGAAAUGCUGAAAAAAACUGGGUACAAAGGCUAUAAGAGGGCUCCGCGGCUCAAACACCUUUAGCUACUGGUUCGGGCAACCAAACAUGCCCUUACACUACUAUAAAAAUUCUGAAACUCACUCGGGAUGUACUAAGAGUUUGACCGAUCGUAACACAACUUGAAAAUUGAAAAACGGAGGUCGGAAAGGUCGCCAAAUAAAUCUCCAAAAUUUGGAAGUAUAAAAAUGAGACUAAGUCUUGAGAACUUAGCAAAAUAUUCUAAGUGUUAGAGCUUGUAAAGCUUAAUGAGCUGAAUUUUAGACUUAGGAUUUUACGGGGUCUUACAAUAUCUCUCCCUUGGAAACAUUCGUCCUCGAAUGGAACUGACUGGGAGGGGAAAAGGCCAACUGAACAUGAAUAAAUGGAACAUGAUCUCAUAACUGAAGUGACUGAUGAACUAAAUAUAUCAUACUGAACAUGCAUAUCUGAUGCAUGUAUAACUGAUUUAUGAAUGUAGGACCUAGUGUUCUGGUGAGCUGAGUUUCUCAAACAGGAAUGCAUAUCUGAUGCUUAACUGAUAAGGCGGAUCUAUGCAUAUCUGAUGCAUGUAUAACUGAUUUAUGAAUGUAGGACCUAGUGUUCUGGUGAGCUGAGUUUCUCAAACAGGAAUGCAUAUCUGAUGCUUAACUGAUAAGGCGGAUCUAUGCAUAUCUGAUGCAUGAUUAUAUGACUGACAUGAUACGUGAAUACAUGACUGAAAGUACUGAUGAGUUGAUCACACAUAUCUGAUGCGUGAAUUCAUGACUAAACUUGCUCAUGAACAUGCAAUAGUAAAGGUACCAAGUUUGAACUGAAAAAUGAGCAUGGAACUGAAUACCAAGUUUGGUACUAAAAUAUGAACAUGAGAACGAGUAAGUUUAAGGAAAACUGUUACCUUGAACUGAAAAUACCGAUAAGUUUGAGAUUAAUUACUCCAUAUGCAUGAUCGGAAACAUGAGAACAUAACUGAGUCUGGGAUGUGGUAGAUAAACUGAAUAUUAUGAUCUGAUUGAAUCUUGAAAACAUGGCAUACGACUGAAGUUUGAGUUUGAGGGUUAACUUAUAAGUACCCCUUCUCCAAACUGGAUUCAUCAAAAGAAAAGAGAGCAGCAUGUUUAUGUCAUGAAAGUUUAGGGGUAUGAUGUAUCUCCCCCUUGGGACACUAUGUCCCUCAAAGAAUACUGACUUGGAUGAGCUACUGAGGGGAAUUGAGGCGAUGCGCAAGACACCUAGGAACUGAGUCAUGACUGAAUAGCUAGGAUCUGAAACUAAGACAUGAUACAUGAAUUGAGCUAAACACGAGUGCAUAAAUAUACUAACUUAUCUGAUUAAUUAAAUAAUUGAUAGCUGAAUACUGGAUCUGCAAAGCUAAACUGUACUUAGUCUGAAUAGCUGGGCUGAGAUUUUUGAGUUUUAUGCAUAGGAGAUAAGGACUAACUGAGUAGAAUAAGGUAUCUGAGCAUGGAUUCAUGAAGUUUGUAUUAUUUGCAAAUACGAGAUCAAGCGUACGACAUGGAUCUGAGGUAUUCUAUAAAUUGGAGUACUGAAACACUGAUAACUGAGUACUGACAACCUGAAUGCUAUGGUCAAGCAUGUCUGGAGCUGAACUGAUUUUCAAAUAUGGUUACUAAACUGAAGAUAACAUUAUAACUAAGCCUAUAGCUAGUACAGAAGUACUGAAUUCUGAGGCUAAGUAACUGGUAACUGAAGCCAUGGUUCUGUAGGACUAUCUGAGUCCUUUACUAAAUAUUGAUUUCUGAACUAUCGCUGUAACUGAGUUUUAGACUGAUACUAAAGUAUUGAAUUCAAGGACUGAACACUGAUCACUGAGUGAUGGAUACUAAAACUAUAAUUGAGUUGGCAACUGAGUUUUUGAUGGCUACAUGUUGGGGACUAACAUAAGUCAAGGAUCUAAAUGUACACUUACACUUUGUACUUUCCCAACUUCUAAAUACAACCCCUUUAUAGAUGUUUACUUGCAUAUUUAUCAUGACAUUCAAGCCUACCUUCACAACUACACCCUCGUGCAAAGUAAACAUGCAACAAUCUUCUCUUAUCUAAACAACUGCUCAUCAUGACAUUGUUCCAUAAGGAGAGCUAACUGGAGGAGUAAAUCAGGAGGACCUGAAACAUGAAUAGAUACAAACUAAACUUGACACAUGACUGAAACUUGAGGAAUAAAAUAUCAAUAGUUUGGAUUUACCAAUAAGGUCUGAACUGAGGAUAUACAUGACGUAGUCUAAAUGUAUAUGAUCUGUAGGGGCAUAGCAUAAGUCAUGGAAGCUAAGUAUAAUGGAAAGCAUGAUAUGCGUACAUGAGUCAUGAGCUGCAUGACCUGAGUCUAGAGUUUCUGUACUCGUGAGACAUGAUUCGUAAUACUGAGGGAGCUGGAACUGAACCCCUUAUACUGGGAACUGAAGGCGUACAUAAUCCCAUGGAAAGUGUGUGAAAGUAGAUUGUGCUCAUGGAACAUGAUUCGUACUACGGAGUAAACUGAGACUCCUUAUGCUGGAAAUUAAAUUCAUACAUGAUUAUGAAAAAAGAGAUAGAUAAGCAUGGUUCGUGAUCAUAGAGUUGGUAUGCAAUGCCUGAGUUGGUUUCAUGAUAGCUGAACUAAAAAACUCUGCACUGAGAUGAGAAUGGGUUUGGAAUUGUCUUCCCUUACUGCUUUCUAUACAUACUGGCUCUACUACUGAAAUCUGAGGGCCUGUCUUAGGUACUUGAUCAACCAUCACAUACCUACAUUCUGUUCAACACCUGCCUGUCUUAUUAAACACAUCAUCUGAUUCUGUUUCCUCAUAUAUUGCUAAUAUCACAUUCACACCUUCAUGCUUAAUUUUAAGUCAAUAAACUUAAAUUCUUGCUCGCCUGCUAGCUCUUUUCAAACCUACUAAUUCAUGUUGGUACAACUAUCCCCAUGAAUACAUAAUCUAAUCAGACUAGAAAAUACUAUCCCAACUCAUCUACUGCUAAACUCUUAGGUCCAUGCUUAAAAUUCUAGGUCUAUACUGUCAUAGGAUUCUGAGAAGGGAUCUAACGGUAUAUCAAAAAUUAGAUUUGAGUUUACAAAGGAGUUCUCAUGAUCAUAAAUGAAAUCUGUACAACUUUGGAACAUGACUGAACUGAGGGAAUAUUAUCUGAGCAUGUGGAAAAUCCCAUAACUAUCUCUAGGGACUGCAUGAGAAAGCCCUAUCUUUAGGACUUGAGCUUCACUGUUUCUGUUACCUUGAAAGUAAGGAAAGGUUGACAUGAGGGGAUCCUGAUGUGAAUCUACAUGGGUUCCUUAGAGAAACUUGCUAUAGCACGAUCUUGAGACAUGAAAGAAGGGAAACUGUUUCUAAAAUAUCUCAUAGCCUCCUACACAGAAGUGUGGUGCACAACACGCCCAUGUACAAGACUCUACUUGAUACAGUUUUCAGACUUCCUAGGACACUGUUGAACCUUAAGCUCUGAUACCAAGUUUGUAACACCCUGAUUUUUUGAACCAAAAUGCUACACGGUGCUCAUGACCCCGAAGGACCACAAGCUAACCCAUGACUGAUAUCUGUACCUGUAAACUGCAUAAUAUCUCAUAAAAUAUGCAGAAACAUGAACUGUAAGGCCAUAAGGUUCAAUACAAUAUUGUCCUCGAAUGAAGAGGAGCACUGACUGCUAAAAUCUGCAAUGCUACUGCUGCUCUAAAACUCGUUCCUCUAUACCUAUGGCGUCAAAUAAAAUACCAUAACAUGAAUGCGUUAUUACGAUUGAAUGUACUGAGUAUACGAGUGAGGUAGGCUAAAUACAAAGGAUUUUAUAUGCAUGAACAAUGCUAACUGAAAUGAACGUGAGAAUACAUACAUACAUACAUAACUGUAACUAAACUCAUGGUGGUACUGACUACUGAGUUUGAAUACUAACAACAUGAGUUUACUGAUGCUGAGAUACUGAAUGACUGAGUUUACUGAUAUUGAGAUACUGAAUGACUGAGUUUACUAAUAUUGAUAUGUAAUUCACUAAUAAGUGAGGAACUGAUAUUGUAUUACUGAAUACUGGGAGACUGAUACUAUAUUACUGAUAAAGGAAUGAUUGUUUCUGANNNNNNNNNNNNNNNNNNNNNNNNNNNNNNNNNNNNNNNNNNNNNNNNNNNNNNNNNNNNNNNNNNNNNNNNNNNNNNNNNNNNNNNNNNNNNNNNNNNNNNNNNNNNNNNNNNNNNNNNNNNNNNNNNNNNNNNNNNNNNNNNNNNNNNNNNNNNNNNNNNNNNNNNNNNNNNNNNNNNNNNNNNNNNNNNNNNNNNNNNNNNNAUAUCUGACAGUCCUAAAUCUGAUGAAACUAGCUGAGUUCCAUACUGUAUCUGACAGUCUUGAUAUCCUAAAGAACUAUCUGAGUUCUUUUACUGAAACUGAUACUAAAACUGUGGAAAGUAGUUAUCUAACCGACAUACCCCAAUACACUAUAAUAGCUAAGCUGGGGUCCAAUCUCUACCCUAAUUGGAAGGGUGUCAAUACCACGCCACUGGUAAGGACAAGCUAUGAGUGACCCUCAUUUGAUAAGUACUCCAAUGAGAACGGUGGGAACCCUCAUCUGACAGGUUAAGCCACCUCAUCUACCCUCAACUGACAGGUAUUGAUAUCUCAACCUAUGCUGGCUACAUAGUUCUGAAAUGCAAGGACUGCUUCUAAGAAUCACACCCUCUACUGGCAGGUAAGUUCCCAUUCUUGGGUUCGCUUGGUGCUGAAUACUACUCCCAACUGAAUGACACUGAACUGAUUAUACUGAACUGAUUUCCUAGUUCAUACUAGAAUUAACUGAACUAUUACUGAUUGUUCUGUUUAACUAAACUGAACAUAGACUGAGUUUAUUGAGUUUCGAUAACUAGCGGAACACUACUGAAUUCUGUUAACUGAAUAAAUGCUAUUGAGUUCUGUUAGCUGACUGAGUUUACUAAUGUUUGAACUGAAUACCAAAAUCUUGGAGCAUGAAGACUAGGUACUUGAUCAUCAUUUAUUGGUUGAGGCAUAUUAUUAAACACAUGGUAGGCAUAGCUUUAGCAUGGGAGUCAACUUAAGCACAUGGAUAUGGCAUGGAAUCAUCAUUUAGAUCACAAAUUGAUCAAAGUGCUCAAUUCUUCUUCACUUAGGCAUUUUAACAAACACCUUGCAUGUACUAUUUAGGGCAUAGGCCUAAUGAUCAAUUUUAUACACCAUAAUUCAACUCAAUUCCACCAAUUGAAUCCACAAAAUAUCAUGGUAUCAUGAACAACAUGUAAAGAUUCAAAAUUUAUUCACUACAACAUGGAAUUCACGUGAAAUCAUAAAACAUGAAGUAGGGACUUGUUAAUUGAGCACUCUUAAAUCAUGAAAACAUGAUUAUGCCUAUUCUAGGCAUUUCAUCGAACACCUUGCAUGCACACUUUAUGGCAUAGGUGUUCUUAAUAAUUUAGUCAUCUUAAACCACCCAAUUUCAUGGAUUUUAACUACAAGCACACGUACUUCAUGAGAAUCACCCUAAAUUAACAUCUCGAAGCAUAAACAAUAACCAUCAACAUGUACAUGAUCAAAUCUCAACAAGACAAUCACAAUAUAGUAUUUAAAGCAUGGUUCUUCGACUCCUACGGGUGAAAGGAAUCCGUGGAUGAAUACUACGCAUACCUUAGGUGGAAGAUUUUGAAGAAAUUCUUAGACAUGUUCUUGAGUCCUUGACUAGGGUUCUUGUUCCUUUGAGAGAAAAUAAAUUGACUCUUGAGUUUGAAAAACUUGAAUAUCAUAUAUUCUUGAAGAAGGAUUUGAUUCUUGUUAUAGGUUAUGAUCUUGAGAGAAACCCUUCUUUUAAUGUUGAAGAUAAAUGAGGAGUUAUGUUCUUCAAUUGAUGGGAUUUGAGUCUUCAAAUUGAAACCCUAGCUUGAGCUCUUGAGAGAAU